UACGGAGGGUGCGAGCGUUGUUCGGAUUCAUUGGGCGUAAAGGGUGCGUAGGCGGCGCGGUAAGUCGGGUGUGAAAUCUCGGGGCUUAACUCCGAAACUGCAUUCGAUACUGCCGUGCUUGAGGACUGGAGAGGAGACUGGAAUUUACGGUGUAGCGGUGAAAUGCGUAGAUAUCGUAAGGAAGACCAGUGGCGAAGGCGGGUCUCUGGACAGUUCCUGACGCUGAGGCACGAAGGUCAGGGGAGCAAACGGG
rnacentral:rRNA from 1 species